rnacentral:rRNA from 1 species
CCCUUAGAUGUUCUGGGCCGCACGCGCGCUACACUGUUCGACGCAGCGAGUCUUAACCUUGACCGAAAGGUUUGGGUAAUCUUCAGCAAAGUCGAACGUGAUGGGGAUCGAUCAUUGCAAUUAUUGAUCGUGAACGAGGAAUUCCUAGUAAGUGCAAGUCAUCAGCUUGCGCUGAUUACGUCCCUGCCCUUUGUACACACCGCCCGUCGCUACUACUGAUUGGACGUUUAAGCAAGAUUUUUAAACACUGACAGUUAAUGGCUUCGGCCAAGACACAGUGAGAAGAAGAAGAUCGAGCUUACUUGUCUAGAGGAAGUAAAAGUCGUAACA